UCUAUUACUCAAGGAAAAAUAUUGUGACUAACGAACAAUUCAUACUGUAUGCGAUAAUUGGCGAUAAUUUUGCCGACUUUGAUGAUAAAUUUAACGGCUUUUAAGUAGACUAAUAAAAAAGUUUUGACUAUUUAAUAGAUAUGAUAAUUAUAAUCAGCACCACUAUUCAAUGAUAAUAAAAACUAUUGUAUGGCCUUUCUGGUAUACCAUGAGGCCUUUUUGGUUCACUUAUGCGGCCGAUUCGCGUAGCCAUUUUUAUGACGGACUUCGGCGGAGUGACCCCCCUUGAAAUCGGUGGGCGUGGCUUCACUCUCGCUGUCGAAAGUUUGGCCAGGCCCAGGAGGGAGCGACUGAGUGAUGGGGUGCAAAAGCGAUCUCGACAUUUACUUGAUGAAUCAUCCCGAACAGCACUUGUUGAUCAUCUCCUGCUCAAUGAGGAUGAAUCCAUAACUGAGAACUGAGGACGAUACUUCUCUCAACAUCACAUUGUAUAAAGACAAAGCAACUAAGCGUGGUUUGUCAUCGUCAACAACCGAACCAGGCUCAGCUGCUGUUGGAGUCUGUCAAGUUGAGAUCACUGUACCUAUCAGGGUUGAGUGUUACAUACUUAAGGAAGUGAUCCAAAGCCAUAUAUUGUCCAUAUACACGCAAGAGACCUGGAAAUGCUCUGUUUACAUUCAGAUCAAAGCAAUGGCAAAACAUAUUAAGUAUGAAAGUAUGUGUAAAUGAAGCAGGACACACUAUUGUGUAUGUAUGUUUAUUGUUAGGAAGUUGCUCAGGACCAUUUGUGGGAACACAUUUCUAGUGAUUAUAUUUUUGCCAAUUAGCUCACCUAAGCACAGUGUGCCAUUGGUGAGCUUUUGUGAUCACAUUUUGUCUGUCAUGCGCAGUGUGUUGUGGGGCAUCAACAGUUGCCUUGUUAACACUUUAGAGGCCACAUAAAUUGUCCAAUCUUCAUGAAAUUCGGUCAGAACAUUUGUCCCAAUGAUAUCUUGGACAAGUUAAAAAAUGGUUCUGGUUUAUGGUCCGUCAUCAUGAAACUUGGUCAGAAGAUGUGUCCCUAUGAUAUCUUGGGCAAGUUCAAAAAUGGUUCUGGUUGGUUGAAAAACAUUGGCACCAGGGGGUGGGGCAUUUUUCUUAUAUGUCUAUAUAUAGCUGUAAAAAAACUUGUUAACACUCAAGAGGCCACAUUUAUUUUCCGGUCUUCAUGAAACUUGGUCAAACAAUGUGUCCCAAUGAUUUCUCUGACAAGUUCGAAAAUGGUUCCGGUUGUUUUAAAAACAUGGCCAGGGGGCGAGGCAUUUUUCCUUAUAUGGCUAUGGUAAAAACAUGUCAACACUCUAAGUCACAUUUAUAGUCCAAUCGCCAUGAUGAAAAAUUAUUAUGUGAUUAUGGUUUUUCUUCAGCAAUAUUAAUAUCCUGCCUCAAACGAUAAUGGCUCUUAUGCAUUAGCUUACAUGUUUGUUGCCUGCAUAACUGCAGAAUAUUAGCUGUUUUCUUCCAAUAUGUUAUUUGUUAUAUCAACAACUUGCUUAAUAUGUGUUAUGUUUGAUAAAUUGCUUAAUGUUUGUUAUGCAAGGUGUAUUGAUAUUUGUUCAUGAAAUAUGAAGUUUUGAUGAAAUAUUAAACUGUAAAAACUA